CGCUCCUAAUUAGCGCAGACUUCGAGUGCUGGCAACUUUUGACAACUUGGCCUCAAAUCAGGUAGGACUACCCACUGAACUUAAGCAUAUCAAUAAGUGGAGGAAAAGAAACUAACAAGGAUUCCCCUAGUAACGGCGAGUGAAGCGGGAAGAGCUCAAAUUUAAAAUCUGGCAGGCUACGCUUGUCCGAAUUGUAAUCUCGAGAAGUGUUUUCCGCGUUGGCCUGUGUACAAGUCCCUUGGAACAGGGCGUCAUAGAGGGUGAGAAUCCCGUCCUUGACACAGACACCCAAUGCUUUGUGAUACACUCUCAAUGAGUCGAGUUGUUUGGGAAUGCAGCUCAAAAUGGGUGGUAAAUUCCAUCUAAAGCUAAAUACUGGCGAGAGACCGAUAGCGAACAAGUACCGUGAGGGAAAGAUGAAAAGCACUUUGGAAAGAGAGUCAAACAGUACGUGAAAUUGUUGAAAGGGAAACGAUUGAAGUCAGUCGUGCCUGCCUAGAUUCAGCCUUCUGGUGUAUUUCUAGGUCGGCAGGUCAGCAUCAGUUUGGGGGGGUUAACAAGGGAGCUGGGAAUGUGGCAACCUCGGUUGUGUUAUAGCCCAGUUUCGCAUUGAUCUCGCUGGACUGAGGAACGCAGUGCGCCCGCAAGGGUUGGUCUUCGGACACAU
rnacentral:rRNA from 1 species